UCCCCAUCGGGCCCAACCAACCGCACAGGCCACGCCCUCGCUCCUCCACCUCUCCAGCGACGGACUCCACGGAUCCACGGCGGUGGGGGCCCGAUGGCCGCGGCGGCGAAUCCUAGGGUCACGGGCGCGGCUCCCGCGCCCCUGCUGCUCCCUCCACGCCUCCUCCGUUGCGCGGCCGGAGGGAACCGGGGCCGGCGUGGGACGUUGCUCGCCGCCGCCCUCCGAGGCGUGCGGUCGGGAACUGGGCCACCGACAGGGCCACAGCGCGGAGCAGCGCUGUUGGCGGGAGUGCCCUGGGCGACCGCGGCACGGAGACGGCGCCGUCCGGCCACCAGUUUGGCCGGCGAAGGAGCUCUGCCCGCGCCGGCGCUCGCCCUGACGCCUUCCGCGCGGCGGCCUCUUCUUCCACUCCGCCAUAGAUUCUUGUGUUGUACCAAUGCGGCAGCCUCGAGCGGCGGCGAGCCCUCGCCUUCGACUAAUGGCGGCAAUAACCUGUUGGCCCCACUCGUCGAGCUGUGGCAACGGACGGUGCAACCGCUAGGGGAUUAUGGAUUCGGGAAGCGCAGCGUGUGGGAAGGCGGUGUGGGACUCUUCAUGGUCUCCGGGGCGGUCCUGCUGGCGCUCGCGCUUGCGUGGCUCCGGGGUUUCCAGCUGCGGUCGCGGUUCCGCAAGUAUAAUGCCGUGUUCGAGUUCAGCCAGGCGUGCGGGAUUUGCGUGGGCACGCCCCUCAGGAUACGCGGGGUCACCGUUGGGAACGUCGUCCGUGUCGACUCUUCGCUCAAGAGUAUUGAUGCAUAUGUUGAGGUUGAAGAUGAUAAAAUUAUUGUGCCCCGUAAUUCAUUGGUUGAGGUGAAUCAAUCUGGUCUCUUAAUGGAGACAAUGAUUGACAUUACACCAAAAGAUCCACUCCCUACACCUUCAGUUGGUCCACUUGACGCAGACUGUUCCAAAGAAGGCUUAAUCCUUUGUGACAAAGAGAGAAUGAAAGGACAUCAAGGAGUAAGCUUAGAUGCACUGGUUGGUAUAUUUACCCGUUUAGGAAGAGACAUGGAGGAAAUUGGUGUUCAAAAAAGCUUCAAGUUGGCAGAAAAGGUUGCAUCUAUAAUGGAAGAAGCACAACCUCUCCUUUCACGGAUUGAAGCAUUAGCUGAAGAAGUUCAACCUUUGCUCUCGGAGGUGCGUGAGAGUGAUCUGGUGAAGGAUGUGGAAACCAUAGCUAAAGGUCUGGCUGAGGCAUCCGGCGAUUUAAGAAGGUUGAAGUCUUCCAUGCUUACCCCUGAGAACAGUGAUCUAAUCAAGCAGUCUAUUUUCACCCUUAUAUUUACUUUGAAGAACAUUGAGAGCAUCAGCUCAGACAUCUCUGGUUUCACUGGCGAUGAGGCGACACGACAGAACAUCAAGCUGCUGAUUAAGUCACUUAGCAGACUAUUGUGAUCCCUCAGUUGAACAAAACACAGUUAUGUGUUGAGAUGGAGAAUUAUGAGUAGAGUAGGCCAUCCAGAUGAGAUUGAAGCAUCUUUAAGAGAAGCUAAUAAUUGUUGAGGCCUAUGCCUCCUUGCAUAAAGGGUCACUGCAGCUGCCUCCAGGAAUUUUGAUCGCCUUCCUUGUCAGCGAGUUGGACCACAAUGUGCUAUCCAUAUAUAGUAAUAAUGCAAAUAGUAAGCCUUAGUGAGUGAGCGGACUAGGUUUUCUCUGGUAGUAGACGUUGUGCAACAUGAGUGGAAACAUAUUUAAAUCAAAGCUCGAUUGACUAAGAAUUAGCAAGAACAAAGCAACCACCUGAGGGAGGUGACUUGGUUUGGCAUGAACAAAGCAACCACAGUUCUGAUUCAUUGCUGUUUCUUCUUGGACUUACAAAUAGGAUGAAUUCAUGAUCA